UACGUAGGGUGCGAGCGUUAAUCGGAAUUACUGGGCGUAAAGCGCGCGCAGGCGGUCGCGUAAGUCUGCUGUGAAAUCUCCCUGGCUCAACCGGGAGGGGGCGGCGGAGACUGCGGGACUGGAGGGACCUAGAGGCCGGUGGAAUUCCCGGUGUAGUGGUGAAAUGCGUAGAGAUCGGGAGGAACACCGGUGGCGAAGGCGGCGCUCUGGACCGAGACUGACGCUGAGGAGCGAAAGCCAGGGGAGCAAACGGG
rnacentral:rRNA from 1 species